GUUCCUGGCUCAGGAUGAACGCUAGCUACAGGCUUAACACAUGCAAGUCGAGGGGCAGCAUGAACUUAGCUUGCUAAGUUUGAUGGCGACCGGCGCACGGGUGAGUAACACGUAUCCAACCUUCCGUUUACUCAGGGAUAGCCUUUCGAAAGAAAGAUUAAUACCUGAUAGUAUGGUGAGAUUGCAUGAUAACACCAUUAAAGAUUUAUUGGUAAACGAUGGGGACGCGUUCCAUUAGGUAGUAGGCGGGG
rnacentral:rRNA from 1 species